rnacentral:sRNA from 1 species
AAACUGGGCUUGAGUAACACCCUAGAUAAACAUCAGGAACCCCACUGAGGCUGAAGUACUGAAACUGUAGCCCAUGUGAAAAAGAGGUGCAAGUGCACAAAGAUUCAUGCAGAACCUGCUGGAACAGAGGGUGGUGGCGGCAGGUUAGUCCACACUUACACACCAGCAGGUAUGCUGGGGAAGGGCCCCCCAGGUGGAGUGCCUGACAUAGGGCUCGCUCCAGAGGCGUCUGACUCAGAAGCUCCUGAGAGAGGUGUCUACUUGAGGUGCGGAGGAGUACUAUGGUUAAUGAAUACAAGGUGUUGUUUCAGGAUAAAUAGGUGUGUAGAUGAGUUUAUUCUCUUCUGUGUCUUCAAACUCCAGGUAGUACUUGUCCAUGAAAUUUCUCUGUAAUAACUGG